rnacentral:rRNA from 1 species
UACGGGGGGGGCAAGCGUUGUUCGGAAUUACUGGGCGUAAAGGGCUCGUAGGCGGCCAACUAAGUCGGACGUGAAAUCCCCAGGCUCAACCUGGGAACUGCGUCCGAUACUGGAUGGCUUGAAUCCGGGAGAGGGAUGCAGAAUUCCAGGUGUAGCGGUGAAAUGCGUAGAUAUCUGGAGGAACACCAGCGGCGAAGGCGCUGCUCUGGGCCGGUACUGACGCUGAGGAGCGAAAGCGUGGGGAGCGAACAGG